rnacentral:lncRNA from 1 species
GAGAAAAGUCCCAGGAAAUGAGUUCCGGUUGAUGGUGGGAGGGGCAGCUGAUUUCCGGUCGAAGCGCAGGCGACGAUUCUUGCGCAAGCGCGCUUCGCACAUUGCUGGCCCCUUUUUUUUUCUUUCCCCUCCCCCUCCCUCUCCCAAGCCGGAGGGGUCCUGAGGUGACAGCGCCUGCAACUGAAAUUUCAGCAGCGGGAGAAGAUGGACAAGAGAAAGCUCGGGCGACGGCCUGCUUCAUCCGAUAAGAAAGAUGUUAAAUGCAAAACCAGAGGAUGUCCAUGUUCAAUCACCACUGUCCAAAUUCAGAAGCUCAGAAUGCUGGAAUCACCCUUUGCAGGGGGUAAAUAAAAUUAAAAUUAAUUUCUUUUAAGUACAUAGUUUUAUUUGGU